ensembl:lncRNA
CUAAAACAUAAUACAAAGAAAGAGAUAUAAAUACAAAUCUCAACCACUCUUAACUAAUACAACAACUCAGUGCUGAUGGCUGCUCCUCCCUGAGCCUGGUUCUAUUGGAGGUUUCUUCCUGUUAAAAGAACUCCGUGUGUGAGGACAAACAGUAGAUGUUUUCCCCCCGAUUUAUAGAGUCCAACCUGAACCUUUGAAAAGACACGUCAUGCCUAAGAUGAGGAAUGAAAUCCUUGAGAAGCUCGAUCGAUUCUUGUAAAUCUCCUGCCAAACUCAAAGGGGCAUGAAAAGCGAGACUGCCGUUACAGUUGCUGUAAAAAGUAACUAGAAAAAGACGUAAAUGCCAACAAAAACAGAGGUGAUGCUGUUCAGUUUUGAUUGUGUAGAUUGUAUUUUUCUACAUCUGUAUUCUCAAGUGUCAAACGUGCAUUUGAAACACAUCCAAGAAUUGGGCCUUAAAGGUUUAUUUAACACUGCGAAUGCAAAGAUAGAACUGGACCAACAUGCAGAUGACCUGUAGUUAUUUAAAGCCUCUGUGGUUUAUUUCCAUAAAAUAUGUAAAAACCUGUGAAGUACUGCAGGUGUCUCUUUAUGGUGGAUAGUCUUUGAUACCAGGGUCACGGUUUCCUACCAACAGAUUGAUUUCCAUCAUCUUUCCUUAUAAGGCAGUGUUGGAUGUUUGUUUGUUAUGUGUUUUUCAUUUCAUGUCAACAAAUUCCAUAAGAAGAUUUCUUUAAUACUUCAGGUGAUUGCUGUGAGUUUUAUCAAACAGGGAGAAUUUGUCAGUGCUCACUUUCACAUCUGGAGUAAUCCACAUCUGAGUUUUUUGACAAUGAUCAGCCCAGCGUCACAGAGGAGUGAGUGUUUAUGGGCUUCUUAUGGAAUUUAUAUUGUAGCCAUCUGAACGUUUCCACUCGAUUUCACUGAUAUGCCGUUUUUCUUUCAUAGAGUUUGUUUGUUCUUGUUGUGGAUUCAGUUCAACUGAUGUUUGUAUUGCGCAUCACAGUUUUGUUCCAUUUGACGGGAGAUUUUUAAAAAGUAGUCAUGUAAAUAAAAACAUUUAAACUGGUGUGUGUCACAGUAGAUUUGAGUAAAAAGAAACUAAAGCAUUGGUUUGUAACAGGGACUCAAUCUUAAAUGAGCUGUGGGUCCCUGCUGGCCACUUUAGUGCUAAAGUAGUACAAAUAAAUAAGAAAACAUCCAGAAAUCCAAAAAUGUAGUGUUUUUCUUUUUUCUUUUCGCCGUUUCUUUCAUUUUAAACUGCAAAUGUAAACUUGUAUUUUGCCUUCAUAUUAAAUCAUUUUUUGCUUUUUAAAGAAGAACAACAAACAAAUCCCCCUAACAAAAAAAGCAGCUUCAAGGGCCAGAUUGCAUUGUAUUCCUUCACAUACACGAGCCAC